GGGGCUGAUUCUGGAUUCGACGGGAUUUGCGAAACCCAAGGUGCAUGCCGAGGGGCGGUUGGCCUCGUAAAAAGCCGCAAAAAAAUAGUCGCAAACGACGAAACCUACGCUUUAGCAGCUUAAUAACCUGCUUAGAGCCCUCUCUCCCUAGCCUCCGCUCUUAGGACGGGGAUCAAGAGAGGUCAAACCCAAAAGAGAUCGCGCGGAUGCCCUGCCUGGGGUUGAAGCGUUAAAACUAAUCAGGCUAGUCUGGUAGUGGCGUGUCCGUCCGCAGGUGCCAGGCGAAUGUAAAGACUGACUAAGCAUGUAGUACCGAGGAUGUAGGAAUUUCGGACGCGGGUUCAACUCCCGCCAGCUCCACCA
rnacentral:tmRNA from 26 species